AGUGAACGCUGGCGGUAGGCCUAACACAUGCAAGUCGAACGGCAGCACAGUAAGAGCUUGCUCUUACGGGUGGCGAGUGGCGGACGGGUGAGGAAUACAUCGGAAUCUACUUUUUCGUGGGGGAUAACGUAGGGAAACUUACGCUAAUACCGCAUACGACCUACGGGUGAAAGCAGGGGAUCUUCGGACCUUGCGCGAUUGAAUGAGCCGAUGUCGGAUUAGCUAGUUGGGGGGGUAAAGGCCCACCAAGGCGACGAUCCGUAGCCGGUCUGAGAGGAUGGUCACCCGCACGGGAACGGAGACACGGACCAGACUCCUACGAGAGGCAGCAGUGGGGAAUGUUGGACAAUGGGCGCAAACCUGAUCCAGUCAUACCGCGUGUGUGGAGAAGGCCUUCGGGUUGUAAAGCCCUUUUGUUGGGAAAGAACAGCAGCAGGUUAAUACCCCGCUGUUCUGACGGUACCCAAAGAAUAAGCACCGGCUAACUUCGUG
rnacentral:rRNA from 1 species